AACGAAAAGUAAAGAACUGAGCAUCCUAGGAUGACCUUCACUACUUUUUGAAGGAAAUCUGGGUGGUAAACUAUUCACAACCCUUUUAUUGAUCGGAAUUUGGAUAUUGGUCCUCUUGAUCUGAAAUAGUUAAUGAAAGAGUGAGCUACAUUAGCCUAGUAAGAAUAUCACACUACUCACCGAUACAGAAACUGAAGGUUGGUAAAAAUCAUAAAAAUAACCAA
rnacentral:lncRNA from 1 species